rnacentral:misc_RNA from 1 species
GGAAAUGAAGCAUUUCAAGCAGGAAAGCAUUCAGAAGCCAUUGAGCAUUACACUGCUGCCCUGUCAUGCAAUGUAGAGGCGCGUCCUUUUGCAGCUAUUUGUUUCUGCAAUCGAGCUGCUGCAUACAAAGCAUUGGGCCAAAUUACUGAUGCUAUUGCAGACUGCAGCCUAGCAAUAGCUCUUGAUGGAAGUUAUCUGAAGGCAAUUUCUAGAAGAUCCACUUUAUAUGAGAUGAUUGGGGAUUAUGGACGAGCA